rnacentral:rRNA from 1 species
AGCGAACGCUGGCGGCAGGCCUAACACAUGCAAGUCGAACGAACUCUUCGGAGUUAGUGGCGGACGGGUGAGUAACACGUGGGAACGUGCCUUUUGGUUCGGAAUAACUCAGGGAAACUUGUGCUAAUACCGAAUGUGCCCUUCGGGGGAAAGAUUUAUCGCCAUUAGAGCGGCCCGCGUCUGAUUAGCUAGUCGGUGAGGUAACGGCUCACCAAGGCGACGAUCAGUAGCUGGUCUGAGAGGAUGACCAGCCACACUGGGACUGAGACACGGCCCAGACUCCUACGGGAGGCAGCAGUGGGGAAUCUUGCGCAAUGGGCGAAAGCCUGACGCAGCCAUGCCGCGUGAAUGAUGAAGGUCUUAGGAUUGUAAAAUUCUUUCACCGGGGACGAUAAUGACGGUACCCGGAGAAGAGGCCCCGGCUAACUUCGUG